GAUGAACGCUGGCGGCGUGCCUAAUACAUGCCAGUCGAGCGAACGGACGAGAAGCUUGCUCCUCUGACGUUAGCGGCGGACGGGUGAGUAACACGUGGAUAACCUACCUAUAAGACUGGGAUAACUUCGGGAAACCGGAGCUAAUACCGGAUGAUAUUUUGAACCGCAUGGUUCAAAAGUGAAAGACGGUCUUGCUGUCACUUAUAGAUGGAUCCGCGCUGCAUUAGCUAGUUGGUAAGGUAACGGCUUACCAAGGCAACGAUGCAUAGCCGACCUGAGAGGGUGAUCGGCCACACUGGAACUGAGACACGGUCCAGACUCCUACGGGAGGCAGCAGUAGGGAAUCUUCCGCAAUGGGCGAAAGCCUGACGGAGCAACGCCGCGUGAGUGAUGAAGGUCUUCGGAUCGUAAAACUCUGUUAUUAGGGAAGAACAAAUGUGUAAGUAACUAUGCACAUCUUGACGGUACCUAAUCAGAAAGCCACGGCUAACUACGUG
rnacentral:rRNA from 1 species